rnacentral:rRNA from 1 species
UACGUAGGAGGCAAGCGUUGUCCGGAAUUACUGGGCGUAAAGGGCGCGUAGGCGGUACUUCAAGUCAGGCGUGAAAGCCCCGGGCUCAACCUGGGAACCGCGCUUGAGACUGGAGAACUAGAGUUCGGGAGAGGAUGGUGGAAUUCCCAGUGUAGAGGUGAAAUUCGUAGAUAUUGGGAAGAACACCGAUGGCGAAGGCAGCCAUCUGGACCGACACUGACGCUGAGGCGCGAAAGCGUGGGGAGCAAACAGG